UUCUUAACCCAGUUUUUUUUCUUCCCAUUGGUAGCUCCUGGGGCAUUUGCUGGUGGUGGCCACCAAGGUGGCCCGAGCGGAAGGCCUCUCGGAGGGCUACCGUGUCGUGGUGAACGACGGGAAGGAUGGUGCUCAAUCGGUCUAUCACCUCCACUUCCACGUGCUGGGGGGGCGCCAGAUGCGCUGGCCCCCUGGCUGAACGGCCCUCCUGCCUCAGCAAGGACAGGCUGUGAGACAAAGCGGGGGGGGGGGCGGUCAUGAAAUAAAGUCUCCUGAAAUAAAGCCCCAUCCUGGGA